AUGGUGCGGCUGCCAGCACCAUCAUCGAGCACCCAAGCACCCGCGCCUGCUCCUGCGCCUGUUGCGGUACCCACGGGUUUGACGCCGAAGCCGGCGACGGCAUCCACAGAAGGUAGAAAAUACAGUGUCCCUGGCAUUGUUCUUAUUAUUCUGCUGCCUACUGUAGCUGCCAUAAACCUUGUGGCUUGCUUCUUUUUCUGGAGAAGGAAGCGGCCACUAGCAAAAACAAAACACUCAGAUCCCAGUUAUUUCGCCGACGAGGAGGACAAUGAAAGUGUAGACUCGAUGUUGAUUGACAUUUCAACCUUGCGAGUUGCAACCGGGAAUUUUGCAGAUAGCAACAAGCUUGGUGAUGGCGGAUUUGGUGCCGUGUACAAGGGUAUUCUUCCAGACGGUGACGAAAUAGCAGUGAAGAGACUAUCAAAGAGCUCAACACAAGGAGUAGAGGAGCUCAAAAAUGAACUCUCUUUGGUUGCAAAGCUUAGGCACAAGAACCUUGUCACACUUCUUGGCGUCUGCUUGGAGCAACAAGAGAGGCUGCUUGUCUACGAGUUCGUUCCUAACCGAAGCCUCGACCUCUUCCUUUUCGAUGCUGAGAAACAUGUAGAACUGGAUUGGGAAAAGAGGUACAAGAUCAUUAAUGGAAUUGCUCGAGGAUUGCAAUACCUCCAUGAAGACUCCCAGCUCAGAGUGGUCCACCGUGAUCUCAAAACUAGCAACAUAUUGCUUGACAAAGAUAUGAAUCCGAAGAUAUCAGAUUUUGGAAUUGCGAGACUAUUUGGGCAAGACCAGACCCAUGGAAUAACGAAACAUGUCGUCGGCACAUACGGAUAUAUGGCACCGGAGUACGUGAUGUGUGGGAACUACUCUGUGAAAUCUGAUUCAUCCAGCUUCGGCGUCAUGGUUCUUGAGAUUGUGACGGGAAGGAAGAACAAUGACUACAAUAAUUCUGAGAAAUCUCAAGAUCUUCUGAAUGUGAUGUGGGACCGUUGGAUGGCCACAACAGUGUUGGACAUGAUGGAUCCGUGCAUGAACACCAGCUUCUCAGAGAGCUGCGUGCUAAGAUGCAUCCAUAUAGGGCUUCUGUGUGUUCAAGAAAACCCGGCUGAUCGACCACUUAUGUCGUCUGUGGUCAUGAUGCUCGGAAGCGAUACCGUGCCUCUCUCUGCCCCAUCUAAGCCGGCGUUCUACACCAAGGAGGCUAGCGACAACUUGGGCAUCGAGUCACAUCACCGUCGGCUCCAUCUUCCUGCCGGAGACACCCAACAGCCUCGUCCGACAAGGUAA
rnacentral:rRNA from 1 species